AUUGAACGCUGGCGGCAUGCCUUACACAUGCAAGUCGAACGGCAGCACGGGUGCUUGCACCUGGUGGCGAGUGGCGAACGGGUGAGUAAUACAUCGGAACAUGUCCUGUAGUGGGGGAUAGCCCGGCGAAAGCCGGAUUAAUACCGCAUACGAUCCACGGAUGAAAGCGGGGGACCUUCGGGCCUCGCGCUAUAGGGUUGGCCGAUGGCUGAUUAGCUAGUUGGUGGGGUAAAGGCCUACCAAGGCGACGAUCAGUAGCUGGUCUGAGAGGACGACCAGCCACACUGGGACUGAGACACGGCCCAGACUCCUACGGGAGGCAGCAGUGGGGAAUUUUGGACAAUGGGCGAAAGCCUGAUCCAGCAAUGCCGCGUGUGUGAAGAAGGCCUUCGGGUUGUAAAGCACUUUUGUCCGGAAAGAAAUCCUUUGCUCUAAUACAGUCGGGGGAUGACGGUACCGGAAGAAUAAGCACCGGCUAACUACGUG
rnacentral:rRNA from 1 species